rnacentral:tRNA from 1 species
GCCCGUGUGGCGUAAUUGGCUAACGCAUCUGACUUCUAAUCAGGGGAUUAUGGGUUCGAGUCCCAUCAUGGGCU